rnacentral:lncRNA from 1 species
GGAAGCUUGAUUGCCAUACAGCACACUUCCUGUCCUCUGUGCACUAGGGAAGCCUCUCAAAUGGCAACAGAAAGUGGUUGGUUUCUUUGAAGAGCAUUUGAACUGAGUGAAUUUUCAAAAAGCGUGGCAUUGACAGAACAAUGAAAGUCCCAGCAGCAGCAAGAACGAGCCGUGCACCAUCACUGCUGCAGUGACCGGCCUGCACCCCGCAGAGCUCUGAUCGCCUCUCUGGGGGCUGCUGUAAGAAAACACCUGGGUGGUCUCCGACCCCAGCACUCGGGUGGCUCCUCUGAAAGAAGGAAAUUUCUUCAGCCUUGUCAAUAAAUAUAUUCUCCUCCAACCCUGACAGUCCGGCCUUUAGGAUUCAGGAGUUAGUACUAGACCUCACUCUUCCCCUAAGCCAGAGAGCCUAUGCAGCAAAGAUAGUAUGAUUUUAAAAUCCAACAUUAGUUCUUGUAUGUACACUGACUUUCUGGAAAGAUAU